rnacentral:rRNA from 1 species
GAUGAACGCUAGCGAUAGGCCUAACACAUGCAAGUCGAGGGGCAUCACAUGAAGUAGCAAUACGGAUGGUGGCGACCGGCGCACGGGUGAGUAACACGUAUGCAACCUGCCUUCAACAAGGGGAUAACCCGUUGAAAGACGGACUAAUACCCUAUAACACAGGGGUCCCGCAUGGGAAUAUUUGUUAAAGGACAACCGGUUGAAGAUGGGCAUGCGUUCCAUUAGCUAGUUGGCGGGGUAACGGCCCACCAAGGCAACGAUGGAUAGGGGAACUGAGAGGUUUAUCCCCCACACUGGUACUGAGACACGGCCCAGACUCCUACGGGAGGCAGCAGUAGGGAAUUUUCGGCAAUGGGGGAAACCCUGACCGAGCAAUGCCGCGUGAACGAUGAAGGUCUUCGGAUUGUAAAGUUCUGUGAUUGGGGAAGAAUGGUAUUCUUAGGGAAUGAGGAGUACAUGACGGUACCCGAUUAGAAAGCCCCGGCUAACUAUGUGCCAGCAGCCGCGGUAAGUCA